rnacentral:lncRNA from 1 species
AGGAUUUUAACGAGGCUCGGCCCUUAGUUUACUUCUCGUGUGCUUUUAUGGGAUUUUUUUAAGCUUUUUCUUUUUUUUUUCCUUUCUUUAAUAAAAUUGCAAUUUAAUAAUGUUAUACAUUUGCAUAUCAAAUUACAGUUCUACUAGACUAUGUGUAUGUGGUAUAUUAAUUGUUUCUUUGAAUACCCCCCUCAUUGCCAUAGAUAAAUUCAACUAGGGUAAUUAUAUUCAUAGUCCCCGCUUUACUCAGUAUAGUCAUCAUUAAAAAUAAU